GGGGAUGACAGGCUUCGACGGGGAAGGCUGGUCCUGGGUGGCAAGCCGAGGUGCUCUCUCCUCGUAAAACUGGGAGCAACACCAAUAGGUGCCAAGAACACCGUGAAGCCGGCAUUCGCGUUCCCGAAGGUGGCGCAGCCUGCCAUGGCUCUCGCUGCCUAAUCGGGUAGCGCGAAUGCUCUGGUCACCAGAAGCGUGACCACGUCAGCCCACGUUGCCCCCUGCUGGGCGUGGGGCCUGGCGACAUCACAGCAGGGCGCGGCAGGUCCGACGCCGAUACGACCUGCCUAAGGCGGGGAACCCCCGCAUCGGCUGGCCGGUGCCGCAUCCCGUCGGUCGGAGGCGGCUCCGGCGAGACCCAAAAGGCCGACUAUGCUUGUACAACCACCCUGGGCCGAAUUCUCCGGACGCGGGUUCGAUUCCCGCCAUCUCCACCU
rnacentral:tmRNA from 1 species